CAAUAAUGCAUUAUAUACAAGUAGCUAUGAACUAAAUGUGUUAUGAGUAUCUGCUGCCUUGUACGGCUCGUUUACUCUACCGGGCAUGUACACUACCAAGCGGUAAAUUGCCGCGUGCCGCUUAGUCCGCCCAUUGUGACUCGCUUGUGGGCGUGCUUGGCAGCAAAUAGCAGGCAGCAGUUUCGAGUGUGCGUCAAGAAUUCAGCAUAGCAAGUUUGUAAGAAGGUCUGGCUAUUCAAUGGGUAAAUAGUUCAACAGUAAUAUGCUUUAAAACGCUCUGGUGACAAACAAACUUUGCUGCCCUGUUUACAAUUGUCCACAUGGCUGGAAGAAGCUAUUCAAGUAAGUAUAUACGUUUCGAAAAUGGUAAAAGAAACGUGUAUUAUUAGCUAACUAGCUAGCAGGCUAACUCAAAUGAGUUGCUAAAUGAGCUAGCUAGCUAUCUAGCCAACUUUACAUACUGUAAAGAUAGAUAGUUAUCUAAGUUAAAUAUCACCAGCUACUAAACUUCAUAUUAGCUAUCUAUAUUGAUCACUGUAAAAAACAAACUCAAAAUGCAUUUGUAGGUAACUAGUUAACAGCCAUGGAGGAGGGUGAAAGGAUAGUAGCCCCAACUGUCAAAGUGAGUAGGCUAUUCUGGAUAGGGCAGGUACUUUUGCGUAGUUCCAGUCCCUAGGAGUGAGGAUAGAGAUAAUAGUAACAUAAUAUUUAGUGCUGUGUCAUUUAAUUACAAUGAAGUCUGUUUCUUGUGGGGUUCUGUCCUCAGAUAAAGAGGGCUAUGAAAGCCUGUCCCAAUGAAGAGCAGUGGUUCUCGGUCCUGGUGACUGAAAUAGGUGCACAUUUUUGUUUUUACCUUAGCACUGCACAGCUGAUUCAAUUAAUCAACUCCUCAAGCGGUGUUUAUGUAUUCAUUUGUGAUGCUAUCCUUGAUAUGACCUUAUUGUGUGUGUGUGCAAUGUUAUGUUGAUUUGUUAUAAGGGAUAUUAUACUUCAGUAAUCCAGUUACCUGGUGAAAGAUUAUUGGAAUCUGUGUGGGUAGCUGGACAAGUAGGAUGACUGACAAUAGUGAAGGCGAACAGGUGGUCACAGGUCAGGUGACAGAGGAAUGGAUGAGACUGAGGCAGGAAUUUCUUUAACCACAAAGUGGUAUAUUUACUGGGUAGUUUGUCUGUACUGCAUAACAACGGAAACAGAAUAACAUAAUCAAAUUCAAAUCAGAAAGUCAAAUCAUUCUCAUUAUUAACAUGAGGUAAUUCCGCAAUACGGUUCCAUAGGAAUUGAAUAUGAAGCAGAAGGGAGUCAUUUAGGAUCAUCAUAGUCAUGAGAAGGAUAAUACAUAUAAAUGUAUCAAUCUAUAAUCUCCAUCAGUUUGAUAUCAGAAUUUAUCAGUUUAGCAAACAAUUACGUUUCAUAUUUCAUCCUGUCAGGUUUGUCUUCAUAUGUACAUGUAAUUUCAUUACAUAUUAACCAUAUAUUAAUUGCAUAAUUGGCCUGAGAUGAUCUGUAGGGCUGUGAUCAUUAACCAUUUACAUAACACAAUAGGUUUGAAGCAUGCGCUCCAAGCCGCUCUCUGCGGUAAUAACUGAUGGCCCGGUCUCCCGAUCGCAACAGAUAGUUCAGAUGAAAUUAUCGUCCAUAUUCCUACAGAUACCUUGUAACUGGAGAUUCUUUCAAAACGAUUGCCUACAGUUACUGUGUAGGGCACUGCAAGGUUGGGUGACCAGGGCCAUCUGGGGCUGCCGCCUGGAGGAAUUCAGGCGUGUGAAGGCUGUCCUGCAAAACAUCAUGAGGAUGGACAUAAGGACCAGGAGGGAUUCUGCAGCUCACCACUGUGUGCCAGAGAAGAAGUCUGGUGCUCUGCAGGAUGUUUCAAGGAUGGGGUCCAACAAUGCAGCAAGAGAGGAAAUCUCUGUGCGGAGAUCUUCACCUCCUACUUCUUUGAAUGGGUGCUGUUCCCUGGCAACACCAAAGACUACACUAUGCUACACCAAAGGCUCUUAAGAGCCAUCCACAUUGCAAUAAGAGUAUUCUUCCAUUUACUUAGCUAUGUCAACUGCUGUUAUUCAAUUCUGUUUAUCUCCCUUUGAUUUCUACUUCUCAGGUGAGAGUGCUGUUUAGGUAAGGGUGUGAUGUCUGUACAAAAACGAAUUUAGAACAAUUAGACAUCCUAUAACCCACACACACACUCAUGUAUCAAUCUGAUUGAUUGAUGGAUUGUAUUGUGCAGUAAGCAGGCUCAGGUGUAUAACUGUGGCUAAUUCCACCUUCAAAUAAUAGGUAAGAGGGCCAACUAUGGAGAAUAGUAAGACACUUCAUUAUUUCUAUAACUACGCUAUAUUGUUUUUCCUCGUGUGUCCGUUCAUGCAGCCACUUAGUGUGGACACCAGGUGAGGCCACACACACAGAUUCCUGUUGAACACUGUCUCUUUAACCACCUUAUUUUCUCAAGUCUCUCUCCUUCACUUCAUCCCUCUCUCCCUAAAUCCUCUAGGUUAUAUCAGCUGUGUCGGUGAACACCUCCCGCAUCUGAAUUGGCUACAUAGAGGGCACAGCAUGAUCAGAGGUAUGUUUUGAUGUGAGAGAGGAUGCCAACCCCCAGUCCCGUCAUCGCCACCUCACCCGCUCUUAAGAUAACCUUCGGGCCGACUGGGAGCCCAAGGCUGUUAGGAGACAUCACUAGACACUAUUAUGUAAUUGUGAUGAACUGAGAGAAUAUUAGGUGGCACUGUGAUUCAUUAAUCAUAUGCGGAAUUCCCUGCUCCUAUGUUCUUACUUCUUUCUGUCUUUCACACCUCUCGCCACCUCUUUCUUACUGUUUUUAUAAUGCACAGCAGAUGUGCAUUAUAAAAUACAGAUUGAAGUACAGGAAGUACAGAUUGAACAUGUAUUUCUAAUAUUUAUAAUGCAUGUAUUUAUAGCACUUGGAUAAUUAACUUCUUCCAAUAAAGCGUUUCACAUUCUCUA